UUCUUUAUUAAGUAUUUUAUGAAAACCCUCCGUAUCCCUCUUCUAUUUUCGUGGAAAUUCCCGCAAAUUUCUUUUAUUUAUUUUUAUGAAAACCCUCUUCGUCUUCCUCCUCCUCUUUUUCUGCUUCUUCAUGCAAGUAUAUUUCCAGGUUCAUGUCGUAUAAAAACUGUAAAUUAUUAUAUAGGUAUAAAUUGAGCUCUUCUUCCCAAAUCGGCUGAUAAAAGGAAAUCUAAACCAUCUGGACAUAUUUUACUCUUUUCCAAUCUGGCCAGAUCUCAGCUUUUUGUGUCAUAAGAAGUACAAGUGAAGUACUUGUUGAUGUUUUGGCGUCAGUGAGUGGCAGCAGAUUCUGCUUCCAUUAUAUUGCCGCAGGUUUAAUCAUCAAGAAACGGUCAUUUUGGUAGCCGUGGUGAUGAAUUUGAAAUAAGUACCACAUCAGUGUUAGAGUCGUCAUCUCGUUGUCCUUUUUGUGACCUUCUGAACUCAACAUUCAGAAACGGUCAUUUUGGUAGCCGUGAUGAUGAAUUUGAAAUAAGUACCACAUCAGUGUUAGAGUCGUCAUCUCGCUGUCCUUUUUGUGACCUUCUGAACUCAACAUUCAGAACCUUCAUGAAAGAUGAUGGGUCAGGGAUGGUGUGGAAUGUGGGGUGAAAAAGAUUGCAGAAGCACAAUACCAGGAAUCAAUCUCAACAUUUCAACGUUCAAAGGAAGAUUGGCGGGCGAUGGAAUGGCCUGAUAUAUAAUCCCAGGGACCAAAACUGUUUGGCUUGGCACUAUCAAAUUCCAUGAUCAUGAGAGUUCGAACAGAACAUUUCUAGUGGAAACCACCAUCGAAAACUUUCCAUGUUCAAAUGGUCGAAUGGAAAAGUGUUGGACGGGUAACACUUAAAAAAAUUGUGUGUAAGAGAUAGCAUCACUUUAUGCUCAGUCUACACGAGUACAUGAUGGUGGGCGCUGAACGUUUUAUAUAAUACUCGGUAGGUAUCUAAUUUCAUGCUUAAUUUGGCCGCUGGAGCUUUAAUGAGUUGAAGAGGAUCUACCAAUUUGACAAUCUACCAAUUGCGGUUUUGUUAUCGUAUUUCCCAAAAAUGUGUUUGUUGUAAUGUUUUAGUUUAUUUAACAAUGUUUUGAUAAAAAAAGUUCUGUAAAGAACCAACUAUUUAUCAUAUGCAUAUUCAACUGAGAAAACAACACAAAAAGAAGGCCGGGCCGGGCAGCAUAUGCAUAUUCUUGACCAGAUUAUCACACCAAUGGUCCAACAUAACCCCUAAGUUAAACAUGGCUGAAACAAGCAGCGCAACAAGUGUCAAAUUAGAGAAACGGAUCAAAUGGGACUCUUGAAGACAAUGCAGCCACCUAAGUACAACAUUGCAUGAAUAGUAAGUCUUAGUGCAAUUUCACUCGUUUAAGAGUGGCUAGAGAAUCAUUAUUCACAAUAAUUUUUUUUUAAUUCACGAUUAAAUGAAAUACAACCCUUAAUAUUA